GAGGAUAUAGCUCAAAUGGUGAAGUGCAUGCUUAGCAUGCAUGAGGUUCUGGCUUCAAUCCCCAGUACCUCCU
rnacentral:tRNA from 1 species